AGGAUAAGGCGUCCAUGUUUUUAUUUUAUAUCUUAAAAUAAAAAUUAUUUGCAAAAUAAUACUUAGAAUAAGUAUAUAAAACAUAUUCUAUAGGAACAUUUGGGACAUACUAUAUAACGGGUGCGCUGUGGUGCCAAGCGCAUCACGGAUGCCGAGAUGGUGCGCAACGGUGCCGAGCGGCAUGGAUGCGGGCGAUAGCGUGCGCGCUAUAGGAUCUAUAGAGGCGAUGUCCCCGCUCUUCGAGGGUGAGCCCGUCUAAGUAGAGGCGGAUGCUGGGGCCCCGCCGAUCACCGCCUCGAUGGCCGUAGUGAGCAUCGGCGGGAAUGUCGGCCAUCUAACUGACAAGCGGGCCAGGAGGGGCUCGACUACGUGUUUACGACUACCGCCAAGAUAUUAUUGGCGUGGUUGGCCACGCAUUUCCAGGUUGGUGAUACUAUUUAAUACCUAUAUAUUUACCGGUGGCAAUUCUUCCCUCGUGACUGGAGAGAAAUGUCCGAAAUAUAUUUCUUCUCUAAUUUCUCCGACCUGACGGAAAUGAAAUAUUUCAUUAUUGAAAUACGUAUAUAAAAAUGAAAGGGUAGUUAUUACGUGGCUAAUACGUAAUUUUUCUUCCAGAUAAAACUAUUCGACACUAUUUACUAGCGCGGCAUCGACGGUUAGACCGCGCCAUUGGUCGGCGGGAACCCAAAAAGUAUUUAUACUGUAUCGCAACAAAAUUUUUAGGAUAUACUUAAAACGUACACCACGAAAUUUUGUUGUCAAUUUUGAUAGCGGUGAAUUUUUCAACAUCGGAAAGGAGUGGCAACCAAAUGAUUACGCACGAUUUUCGAUCAAUGGUGCCGAUAACCUGUAUAAAAAUAAUAAUAAAUUAUUAUUUUCAGUUUUAAUUAAAUUUAUAAGAAGGAAUAAACGAGAUCAACCAAGAUCAACCAAAAAUCACUCCAUGAUCAAUCAGUCGAUUGUGAUCAACUGGUUGUACACCCCUAGUAUAGACAGAUACAAGUUUAUUUAUUAAAGGCAUUUUUUUUUUUUUUUAAGAAAUCUGAUUUUUUUUUUUUAAAUUAUGACAAUUAACACUAAUUAUUAAUUUUGUCAUCAUUUAUUUUAAUAACUGGAAUUUCAUUGAAAAAUGAUGCAUUUCCUGAGCCAAAAACAAUCAUUAUCUCACAAAUUGCACACAAAAAACAAAGCUCCAAACAGG
rnacentral:lncRNA from 1 species